CAAUAGUGUACGUACACAGGGAAGUUAAAAACACCUGUCCUUCAAAACAAAUUCUUUUUGUCUCAGACCAGACCUUUUUCUAAAUUAAAAAGCAAUUUUUAGGUUUGAACGGUUUUGCCCACUGAGUUUCUCGCCGGAUCUUCUCAGUGGGUCGCGUUUCCGAUCCGGUGGUAGAUUCUGCGAAGCACUGCUCUUGCUAGGACCAGUGUUAGCAACACUCUUGGUUAGAGCCCCGUGAGCUCACCUACACGUCAAGGAGAAGCUGAAAUAACCUCUUAAGGCUAUCAGCAUAGGAAGGGGAAAAAAAGAAUAAGACCGUAAGAACAAGUAACUACCUGUUGAACUAUAGUGUCAUAAAGUACAUCAAUGGAUAGUCAUGGCCUACCAGAACGAACGUUAGGCAUCAACGAACAAUCAUUGGUAAUAAAUAUCAAAGCAUUUAGCCGUACGUGAAUAAGAAAGAUUCUGUUCGGGAAAGAAGUUUAUCAACACCCAUAAGCGGUCAAUGUCGACCAUCAUUAUCAGCAACGACGGGUCCGGCGAAGCUGUUAUCUAUGCUAGAUUCCAUUCAAACCUCAUUAAAAAGAACAAUGUAGCGUUAACACCGAAGACGCACGUGUCAAAAUGCGAAUUAACUUCACUCACUCUAUCUACUACUAGUGUAGAGACCAUAAUUCCCUGGAAACGCACAAGCCAAAUGACUGCAAUGCCAAGGCCUGCGGUCACGUGAAUAUCAAGGCUUAUUGAGAAGUUGAGUAGGUACCAUUUGCGGUUAGACCGUGUGUCUCAACGUGGGGCCCAUGCCUCCCAAGGGGGGAAUUUCAUAAUUAAGGGGUAAUGGCACCAUUUUUAAUAUAGAAAAUCUGUAUUAAAGGUAUUUUGAAUUUGAAUU